GUAAUCAAUAUCUAAUCCUGCAUAAAGUAUACUUUUUUUUUUUCAUCAUUUUCAAUUCCAUCCAACAGAUAGGAAAAGUGAUUUAAAUAGUACACCCGCAAGAUUGAUGGCUGAUCAUCUUAUACUGCCCACAGUAGAAGCAGAUUUUCAGUACUCACCAAUUGCCAGAAUCCACAUCACGAGAUUGGUAGAAAUCAUUUGGCUGGACAAUGUCGAUCUCCUCGAAGUCGUUAUCAUCUUUUCGAAAGGUUAGAGCCACAACUGCAUCAUUUUCAACCUUCUGAUCA
rnacentral:misc_RNA from 1 species